AUUGAACGCUGGCGGCAUGCCUUACACAUGCAAGUCGAACGUGAAAGCGGGGCAACCCGCAAGUAGAGUGGCGGACGGGUGAGUAAUACAUCGGAACGUGUCCAGUAAUGGGGGAUAACCUAGCGAAAGUUAGGCUAAUACCGCAUACGAUCUGCGGAUGAAAGCGGGGGAUGCGGCACUAAAGGCUUUUGGCGAAGGUGGCCAAAGGUGAGUCAAGAGCUUUUAGUGCUGCACCUCGCGUUAUUGGAGCGGCUGAUGUCUGAUUAGCUAGUUGGUGAGGUAAAGGCUUACCAAGGCGACGAUCAGUAGCUGGUCUGAGAGGACGCCAGCCACACUGGGACUGAGACACGGCCCAGA
rnacentral:rRNA from 1 species